AACGAACGCUGGCGGCAGGCCUAACACAUGCAAGUCGAACGAGAAGCCACCUUCGGGUGGUGGACAGUGGCAGACGGGUGAGUAACGCGUGGGAACGUGCCUUUCGGUUCGGAAUAACCCAGGGAAACUUGGGCUAAUACCGGAUACGCCCUUCGGGGGAAAGAUUCAUCGCCGAAAGAUCGGCCCGCGUCGGAUUAGCUAGUUGGUGGGGUAAUGGCUCACCAAGGCGACGAUCCGUAGCUGGUCUGAGAGGAUGACCAGCCACACUGGGACUGAGACACGGCCCAGACUCCUACGGGAGGCAGCAGUGGGGAAUAUUGGACAAUGGGCGAAAGCCUGAUCCAGCCAUGCCGCGUGGGUGAAGAAGGCCUUAGGGUUGUAAACCCCUUUCAGCGGGGAAGAUAAUGACGGUACCCGCAGAAGAAGUCCCGGCUAACUCCGUGCCAGCAGCCGCCGUAACAC
rnacentral:rRNA from 1 species